rnacentral:rRNA from 1 species
AAUCAACGCUGGCGGCGUGCCUCAGACAUGCAAGUCGAACGCGAAAGUUUCCUUCGGGAAGCAAGUAGAGUGGCGUCCGGGUGAGUAACACGUAGGUAAUCUACCUUUGGGUGGGGAAUAACAACCGGAAACGGUUGCUAAUACCGCAUAAUGCAGCGGCAUCACAUGAUGACAGUUGUUAACGCGGGGGAUCGCAAGACCUCGCGCCUAAAGAGGAGCCUGCGGCGGAUUAGCUAGUUGGUAGGGUAACGGCCUACCAAGGCAACGAUCCGUAGCCGGCCUGAGAGGGCGGUCGGCCACACUGACACUGAAAUACGGGUCAGACUCCUACGGGAGGCAGCAGUCGGGAAUUUGGGCAAUGGGCGAAAGCCUGACCCAGCAACGCCGCGUGAAGGAUGAAAUCCCUCGGGAUGUAAACUUCGCAAGAACGGGAAGAAUAAGUGGAAGUUAAUACCUUCCAUGAUGACGGUACCGUUUGUAAGCUCCGGCUAACUCCGUGCCAGCAGCCGCCGCGGUAAU